ACCUUUCUGUGUUUGCUUUUAGAAAAAGGAAAAAGUCGAGCUACCCACGCCCGGCGGUGGCUCUUGUUUAUAUUUUAUAAAUAUAGAUGGUGGUGGUCGUGUCUGCUCUGAAACUUCAGUAUGCAUGAAAGGAUUUUAAUUUUCUUUUACAUAUGAAACAACCAUAUAUAUAUAGAGUGUGUCGCGAACAAGACUCUGGGGUUUCUACGAGUAAGGUCAAGGUCACUUUGGGGAUUCAAACUUUGUCAUUUUUUAUACCCCCGCAGAACAAAAUUGUAAGGGGAGUAUACUGGAAUGAGCUUGUCCGUCCGGCUGUCCGGCCGUCUGGCUUUCCGUAUGAACCCAGAGGUACUUGUGUGACUUAGAGAACAAUGGGUAAGAGAAAAUUCUCUUUGAUCCUAUUCAUUCCGUUUUUUCUUGUGUGUCUUUUUUUGAGCCUUGUGUGACUAAAAAUGGCCAAAAAGAUCAAAAGAAAAGUCACAUAAGUACCAUUUUGUGAGUACAUCCGGCCGUCUGGCGUCCGUCGGUUUUUAGCUCACCUUGCACAUAGUGCAGGUGAGCUUUUAGGAUGGCCAAUCAAAAGCGUCCGGCGUCCGGUGUCCGUCCACAUUUUAUUUAGACGACAUCUUCUAUAAUACCACUUGACCAAUAUUAAUGAAACUUGGCAGGAAUACUCAUUGUAUGAAGCUCUAUCAAGAGUGUUCAAAGAAUGCCAUUCCAUGCUAAACUCUGGUUGCUAUGGCAACUAAAAAAAAAACUUAAAAGUUCUUAUACUUCAAAAUGGAAAGGGCUAGAGCUUAGAUAUUUCUCACAAGGCAUGAGCUUGUUGGUUUCUACAAAGUAUAAUCAGAUUAUGGUCUACAGUUGAAAAUUGGUCUCUGUUUUGGGGGUUAAAGGUUUUUUUUAUUGCAAGAUUGUAUAACUGUCUUUGUAGGGAUAAAUUGAGAGUGUAUCUUGUAUUUUUUGUCUCAACAGACAUUGUUUUGAGGAUUUUUUCUGUUAAAGCAUUAGAAAGAUGAAAAUGUUGAAUGUGAAUUUUAAUUCAAACAAAGUCAAUCAGAAUAGCCCCAAUUUCAGAGAUACAGUGUAGUUGAUUACCCCAUUCAAUAAUGGAUUAUUCCUUUAAUUUUGUAACAUCAUCAGAAAGGAGACUGUGUCAUUUCCGAAAUAAAAUGCAAUGUAUUUUGGUUCUUGACAUUGACUUGCACAUUUUAUUGUGUAAGAUAUUGCACAAAGAAAUGAAAGUGAACAAAAAAGGUUGUAUUUUUUCACAAAAAAUAGCUUAUUAAGAUAAAAGUUUAAUUUACAGUGCGGAUAUUACUUAAAUUCUUCCUUCCGGUUUGCGGGAAAAUCAUAUAUUUCAACAUUGUGUACACCGGUCUUACUGAAUCUGCUGAACGAUUUAUGACAUAAUAUUUCAUUCUGAUUAUAAACAUACAAUUCAAAUCAUUAAAUAAUAGAUAUCAAUCAGUCCUGAGUCUUAGAAAACAUCUGUAUCAAUCUGACCUAUAAACUAAACUAAACUGGAAUUAGGACAAAAUGGCGGCCUUGAACAAGGAAAUUGAGAAAUUUUGUAACAUAAACUCGUAUUUCAAAACAAAGAAGUGAAGAUGACAACAAUUAUCGGUGUGCUUCGUUGAAACAGGUAUUUUGUUAACUAUUUAUGAAGUAUUAAGGGAUGACAUUUAGUAUUUAUGUAAAUAUCACCUCCCGUGAUAUGAUUUCUAAAAUUAUACAUUUCGGCGAUCUCCGAGGUCAUUUUUCUGAAUGAUGUAAAUCCGAUGAGAAAUCGGGAAGGGUGUGUGUGCAUGCCUCAUUAAUUAGCGUGUGCACAUUGCUUGAUAAUGCUUGAUAUAUAUUUUAAAAUAAAUUUGUCCAUCUCAGACCAGUUUGUAAACGAAUCAAAACAAUUACAAUACGGAGAUUGCCGAUGAAAAAUUGAGCUAGAAUAUAUAAGAUCAGAUUUGAUUGGUCGUCGUAAUUUUUACCAGCCAAUGAAAUCGUUUGUUGUAUAGUCAUUUGAUGUCAAAAUACAUCUACAAAUACAAUGACAACAACAGUGCUGGUGUUAAUACUAACAAUCUGAAAAAGGGUGCAAAAAACAAAUGGAGGUGGGAGUGGUUAGCGGAAAAGGACUCUAAAGGUGAAAAAUGGGAUGCUUGGUUGAAAAAACCAAAUGCCAUGGGCUUUUGUGAAGUCUGUUCCAAAACGAUCAACUAGACAAAUCGAACAGAAAAAGGUGCUUCUUAAUCACGAUGAGCUGAAGAUGAGGUCCACUAAAAGAAUCUUCGACCAAGUACUGCCAGGCUCAUCAAAAGCUGUGGACAAAAAGAUUGAAAGUAUGCAAGAUCGCAUUGCCAAACAAAGAGCAAUCACAACUGCCUUUCUAAGUGAACAUUGACUGCCAUUUUCCAUAGCAGGCGAUCUCUAACAUCUUGCCAAACGUUUAGCUGAAGACAAGCCUGCUCUUGAAAAAACUACUCUUUCUCCAACCAGUGCAAUUUACAUAACAACACAUGGUGUAGCCAAAUCUGUUAAGGAUGGAGUGAAGUCAAAAGUGAAAGAUAAGUUAAUAUCUUUGAAUAUGGAUAAGGCAACUAACAAAAAUCAAUAACAAAGUACUGAAUAUAAUCUUUCAGUACUUUAAUGAUGAAACUAGUCAAGUAGUAAUGGAUCAUUUAGAAUUGAGAAUUCAAAAUGUUUCCACAUCUGAAGAAAUUGUCAAGUCAGUUGAAAGUGUGCUGCAUCAACAAGUGGAAGACAAUGGAAAAGGAUUAAAUUUAAGAUAUGAAUUUGAAAAUAGUAAAAAGAAUGAACAUAAUUUGUUAUGUGGAAUGUGUAUAGAUUGCUUAAAUAGUAUUGCUCAGUGAAUUUGUGUAAAUUUUAACAUAUCAGAUUAAUUACAUCUGAAGAUAAAUAAAGCACUUGAGUAUGUAUUUGAGCCUUUUUUUGAACUUUUAAAUUCACUAAAUUGCAAAAGCUUCUGAGGGCCUCCAGCCCCCUGAACCCCUAGCCAGGGCGUUGCCCUGGACCCACCGUAGGGGCCCCCUGGCCCCCAACUUUUUCUUUCAGUAUUUUCAGUUUCUGUAACUUUUACCCCUGCAUGUACACAUGUGUUUAUCACCUCAAUAAAUGUAAGUGAAAAUGGAACAAUAAUUAUGGUAAUUAUCCAUGGUGCUAGAAAUACUUAAUUAUCUUUAUCAUCAUGUUAACUAAGCAAGAAGCUUAUAAUUGCCUAACCUUACAAUAGUUAUCAAUUUAAACUUGAAAAUCUACCCUAAAUGACUUCCCAAACAGUAAUUUCUGAAAACAUGAAAAUGAUUCGUGUAGAAAAAUAACACAAGAAAAAACUGAUUUGACUCAUGAAAAUUUUUGGCCAAACAGUCUGCCACGUGAAAUUCUGACCUUCCUGAGAUCCCUGCUGUUUUUAGCUCACCUGAGCACGAAGUGCUCAAAGGUGAGCUUUUGUCAUCACUCUGCGUCCGUCGUGCGUCGUGCGUCCUUCAAAAAAUGGCGUCAAACUUUUCAAACAACAUCUCCUCCUAAACUACAUGGCCAAUUGCAACCAAACUUUACAGAAAUGAUCCUUAGGUUGACCCCUUUCAAAGUUGUUCAAAAAUUUAAAUUCCAUUAAAAACUCUGGUUGCCAUGGCAACCAUUAAGAAAAACUUUAAAAAUCUUCUUCUAAAAAACCAUAAGAGCUAGAGCUUAGAUAUUUGGCAUGAAACAUCUUCUAAUGAGUGCCUACCAAGUUUGUUCAAAUCAAAGCCCUAGGGUCAAAAUUGGCCCCGCCCCAGGGGGUCAUUGAUUUUCCCUAUAUGCAUAUAGUAAAAACUUAAAAAAUCUUCUUUUAAAGAACUCAAAGAGCUAGAGCUAAGAUAUUCAGCAUGAAACAUGUUCUAAUGGGUGUCUACCAAGUUUGUUCAAAUAAAAGCCCUGGGGUCAAAAUUGGCUCCGCCCCGGGGGUCAUUGAUUUUCCUUAUAUGUGUAUAGCAAAAACUUAAAAAAUCUUCUUUAAAAAAACCCAAAUAGCUGGAGUUUAGCUAUUAAGCAUGAAACAUCUUCUAGUGAGUGUCUACAAAGUUUGUUCAAAUCAAAGCCCUAGGGCCAAAUUGGCCCCGCCCCGGGGGUCAUUGAUUUUCCUUAUAUGACUGUGUAUAGCAAAAACUUAAAAAUAUUCUUUGAAAAAACCCAGAUAGCUAGUGUUUAGAUAUAAAGCAUGAAACAUCUUCUAGUGAGUGUCUACCAAGUUUGUUCAAAUAAAAGCCCUGGGGUCAAAAUUGGCCCCGCCCCAGGGUGUCUUUGAUUUUCCCUAUAUGCAUAUAGUUAAAACUUAAAAAAAUCUUCUUUUAAAGAACCCAAAGAGCUAGAGCUAAGAUAUUUAGCAUGAAACAUCUGCUAAUGAGUGUCUACAAAGUUUGUUCAAAUAAAAGCCCUGGGGUCAAAAUUGGCCCCGCCCCGGGGGGUCAUUGAUUUUCCCUAUAUGCAUAUAGUAAAAACUUAAAAAUCUUCUUUUAAAGAACCUUAAGAGCUAGAGCUAAGAUAUUAAGCAUGAAACAUCUUCUAGUGAGUGUCUACCAAGUUUGUUCAAAUAAAAGCCAUGGGGUCAAAAUUGGCCCCGCCCCAGGGGGUCAUUGAUUUUCCCUAUAUGCAUAUAGUAAAAACUUAAAAAUCUUCUUUUAAAGAACCCAAAGAGCUAGAGCUAAGAUAUUAAGCAUGAAACAUCUUCUAGUGAGUGUCUACCAAGUUUGUUCAAAUUAAAGCCCUGUGGUCAAAAUUGGCCCCACCCCGGGGGGUCAUCGAUUUUCCCUAUAUGCAUAUAGUAAAAACUUAAAAAAUCUUCUUUUAAAGAACCUUAAGAGCUAGAGCUAAAAUAUUUGGCAUGAAACAUCUUCUAGUGCAUGUCUACCAAGUUUGUUCAAAUAAAAGCCCUGGGGUCAAAAUUGACCCCGCCCCAGGGGGUCAUAGAUUUUCCCUAUAUGCAUAUAGUAAAAACUUAAAAUUUCUUCUUUUAAAGAACCCAAAGAGCUAGAGCUAAGAUAUUUAGCAUGAAACAUCUUCUAAUGAGUGUCUACCAAGUUUGU